rnacentral:rRNA from 1 species
GACGAACGCUGGCGGCGUGCUUAACACAUGCAAGUCGAACGGAAAGGCCCUGCUUUUGUGGGGUGCUCGAGUGGCGAACGGGUGAGUAACACGUGAGUAACCUGCCCUUGACUUUGGGAUAACUUCAGGAAACUGGGGCUAAUACCGGAUAGGAGCUCCUGCUGCAUGGUGGGGGUUGGAAAGUUUCGGCGGUUGGGGAUGGACUCGCGGCUUAUCAGCUUGUUGGUGGGGUAGUGGCUUACCAAGGCUUUGACGGGUAGCCGGCCUGAGAGGGUGACCGGAGAGACGGGGAAUGAGAGACAGCGCGGACGGAGCCGGGGGGCAGAAGGGGGGAGUAGGGAACGAUGGGCGGAGGGAUGAGGCAGUAAAGCCGGGGGGGGGAGGGCGGUGGUAGGGUAGGAAGACGAGGGCGCCUGUGACGAAGAGGGAGUGAAGGGAAUGGGAAAAGAAGAAACGGCUACCUACGGG